rfam:Nicotiana attenuata strain TT chromosome 1, whole genome shotgun sequence.
UGGACAAAUUAUUAUAUUCGACUGUAUUCACGGCGUGAAAUAGGGGAUUACACUGUUUUUAAACGGAAAGUGAAUCAGUUAACAUAAUAGACUCCU